CUCUCCCUCUCAGUUCUCUCAAUCUGUCACUCUCCGUCUCCAUCUUUCUCUCUCCUAGGGCACAAAAACAGUGAAAAUUCACUCACUGAUUUCAAUUCUUUCCAGCCAUGGCGGACGCUUCUUCUUCUCCCGCCACAAACGCAGAAUCGAAUCCCCAAUCCGAUAACCCCAAUCCCCAAUCUAACCAACCUGAUCCCGUUCCCGCUGCUUCCACACCACCACCGCCACCAUCACCAUCAUCGUCCUUAUCUUCCACCCCUAUCCUCGUAAACCCUAAUUCGAAUCCGCCUCUAGUAUCUCCGCCACCUCCACCGCCACAUCCUUCGAUAUCCUACGCGCCACAACAGGUUUCCGGCGCCUUACCACCGACCGCGCCUUCGUUCCGGCCGGUUUCGCAGUUCACUCCAAUACCGAACCCGGGCGUGCCCAAUCCGAAUUAUCACCUCCCUGGCGUCCAGCCGCCCGGUGUGAGCUCCGGGGCUCCGAUGGCUCCUGGUGUGCCCCCGCCGUCCUCGGCCCCGCAGCAUAUGAUGCAUUAUCAGAUGCAGCCUAUGAGACCGUACGCACCGAUGCCUAAUGGAUACGCAGCCAUGCCCACUGGUGCUCCUCAAGGCGCUUUACCUGGACUUCCUCGUUAUCCUCCAUAUCCAAUGAUUCGGACCCCGUUUCCUCCACGCCCACUGGGAGCAACUGGUUUGCUUCAGCGUGCCCCUGUUCCUGGGAUUCCUGGAGUUCGCCCAAUUAUCCCUCCUGUUAGGCCAAUUCUUCCUAUUGUCACCCCAGCGGAGAAACCACAAACCACUGUUUAUGUUGGGAAGAUAGCACCAACUGUGGACAAUGAAUUUAUGAAAUAUCUCCUCCAGUUGUGUGGACCUGUCAAGAGUUGGAAACGUGCUCAAGAUCCCACAGAUGGGACUCCUAGAGGCUUUGGGUUCUGCGAAUUUGAAUCUGCUGAAGGGGUUCUUCGGGCAUUACGUCUUCUCACCAAAUUGAGCAUUGAUGGGCAGGACCUUGUGCUAAAUGUUAAUCAAGCAACAAGAGACUAUCUGGAGAGGGUUGUCCAAAAGAAGACUGAAAACUCAAAGAAGCUCAAAGAAGCUGAAGCAGCUGAGAAAGGUGAUGGAAGUGCACCAGACGGUGAGAAGAAUGUACCUUCAAAUCCUUCUGUACAAGACCCAAAGGAGGAAGAUAGUAAUUCAAGUAACAAAGAAAAUGACACUGCCAAUUUUGGAAUUGUGACUGAUGAAGACAAGGAAGCUGACCAGGAGGCUAUGGAGAAGCUUACAAGUUUGAUAGAGGAGAGAAUAAAAAACAAACCUCUCCCUCCACCACCUACACCAGCUCCUGGUGAUGCUACUAGGAAUUCAAACUCAACGCUGCCAGCUAAAUCAAGGGAUGGAGACUCUGAUGUUGAUACAAUGAGAAAUGAUGCUUGUGAAGAAAAAAUUGAUGAAGAGAUAACUGGUGACAACAAAACAAGUGACCAGGAGAGGCCUGAAACAAGCUCACCUGAUAGGAGCAGAAGGCAAGAUAGGAGCAGAGACAGGGGGCGAGAUAUGAAACGCGAAAAGGAGCGUGAGAUUGAAAGAUACGAAAGAGAAACAGAGCGAGAACGGGUGCGGAAGGAGAAGGAGCAAAGGAGAAAAAUCGAGGAUGCUGAGCAUCAGUAUGAAAAAUGUCUGAAAGAUUGGGAGUAUAGGGAAAGGGAGAAAGAGAAACAGAGGCAGUAUGAGAAGGAGAGGGAGAAAGAGAGAGAACGCAAACGGAAGAAAGAGGUAAUUUAUGAAGAAGAUGAUGAGGAUGAAGAUUCCAGGAAAAAAUGGAGGAGAAGUGCAUUGGAGGAGAAGAGAAAGAGGAGACUACGGGAGAAGGAAGAGGACAUAGCUGACAGGCAGAAAGAAGAAGAAGAAAUUGCCGAGGCCAGAAAGAGGGCUGAAGAGGAAAAGCAGCUGGAGCAAGAGAGAGAUGCAUUAAGGGUUUCAUCUGGCCAUGUACCAAAUGGAAGUGACACAGUUGCUUUGGCUGAAGAAUUCGGUGUGGAACUGAAAGAUAAGGCAAUUGAACAGGACGUUGAGGGUUAUUCUGGUCCUGAGAAUCGUAUAGGUGAUGGAGCUUUACAGAAUGGUAACAGUGGUGAUAAGUCAACCAUGACAUCUGCUUCUGCAUCAGAACCACAUCUGAGUGGCAGUGCCCCAGCAAAGAAGUUGGGUUUUGGCUUAAUGGGUUCUGGAAAACGUACUGCUGUUCCUUCUGUUUUUAAAGAGGAGGAUGAUGAUGCACACAAGGACAAAAAAAUGAGGCCCCUGGUUCCAAUUGAUUAUUCAACUGAAGAACUACAGGCUGUCCAACACUGUUUUUGGGACAGCUCCAUCAAAUUUGGCUGCAGCUGCAGAAUUCGCAAAGCGAAUAUCAAAUGCUAGUUCUAAAGAAGAGAAGCCAGAUGCGGAGAAAGAAAGAAGUAGACGUUCUGAUGAUAGGUCAAGCCACCGGGAUAGGGACCGGCAUGGUGAUGACUCUAAUCGCACUAGAAAUGAGCACAAGGAGAAGACUAUUGACCGUGAUACGGACCGAGAACAUGGGAUGAGUAAACCAAGGGCAACGGAUAACAAGAAGCUUUUGGAUGCAAAACAACUGAUCGAUAUGAUUCCGAAGACAAAAGAGGAAUUAUUCUCAUACGAAAUAAAUUGGGCUAUUUAUGAACAGCAUGCACUACAUGAACGCAUGAGACCAUGGAUUUCGAAGAAGAUUACCGAGUUUCUGGGAGAGGAAGAGACUACGCUGGUAGAUUACAUUGUAUCUAGUACUCAGGAACAUGUCGGAGCAGAACGCAUGCUCCAGCUGCUUCAAUCCAUUUUAGACGAAGAAGCUGAAAUGUUUGUGCUCAAGAUGUGGAGGAUGCUCAUCUUUGAAAUUAAGAAGGUCGAGACAGGUCUGGCUUCAAGAACAAGAACUUGAUAGUUUUUAAUGUCAGUUGUACUUUUGCUUGCUGUAGACCCAAGUCUUGUUAGUAUAAUAUGUCCUUUGCCCUCCGCCCUCGUUAACUAGGAUGGGUCGCAUAGAUGGCUAAAACCAAAUUCUUUCUGUUUCUAUCGCUUCCUGUUACAUUUUGUUCCAUAAGCAAAUAAUGCCCUUUUUCGUCUUCGUCGAUCUUGUUGGUUGUCUGUAGCUUUGGAAUCUGUUAGAUGUCCUCUCGGUGAUUCUUUCCAAAAUUUUACUUGUAUUUAUGUCCGGCGUUUUCAGUCAGGCCAUAGUAUUUUGAAAUGCAUGACAGGGAAAUCCUUCCUACCAUUA